rnacentral:rRNA from 1 species
CCGAGGCGGUUCCCUUUGGCAAAUCCGGGGGAGCAACGUUGAGACUAAGGACCGGCCCAUUAGGGCUAGGCUGCCGAUAUCACGCUUCCAGGAAAAGCUCCUAAGCUUCAGCUUACGCAGACCGUACCGUAAACCGACACAGGUGGGCAGGAUGAGAAUUCUAAGGCGCUUGAGAGAACUCGGGUGAAGGAACUAGGCAAAAUAGCACCGUAACUUCGGGAGAAGGUGCGCCCUCCAUGGUUAAUAGCUAAGGGGGGCCGCAGUGACCAGGCCGCUGCGACUGUUUAUCAAAAACACAGCACUCUGCAAACACGAAUGUGGACGUAUAGGGUGUGACGCCUGCCCGGUGCUGGAAGGUUAAUUGAUGGGGUCAGCCGCAAGGCGAAGCUCUUGAUCGAAGCCCCAGUAAACGGCGGCCGUAACAAUAACGGUCCUAAGGUAGCGAAAUUCCUUGUCGGGUAAGUUCCGACCUGCACGAAUGGCGUAACGACAGCGGCGCUGUCUCCACCCGAGACUCAGUGAAAUUGAAAUCGCUGUGAAGAUGCAGCGUUCCCGCGGCAAGACGGAAAGACCCCGUGAACCUUUACUAUAGCUUUACAUUGAACGUUGAGUUCGUCUGUGUAGGAUAGGUGGGAGGCUAUGAAACCAUGGCGCUAGCUGUGGUGGAGCCAUCCUUGAAAUACCACCCUGUCGUGCUUGACGUUCUAACCUGGGCCCGUUAUCCGGGUCGGGGACCAUGUAUGGUGGGUAGUUUGACUGGGGCGGUCUCCUCCCAAAGUGUAACGGAGGAGCACGAAGGUACGCUCAGCGCGGUCGGACAUCGCGCACUGUGUGCAAAGGCAUAAGCGUGCUUGACUGCAAGAUCGACGGAUCAAGCAGGUACGAAAGUAGGUCUUAGUGAUCCGGUGGUUCUGUAUGGAAGGGCCAUCGCUCAACGGAUAAAAGGUACUCCGGGGAUAACAGGCUGAUACCGCCCAGGAGUUCAUAUCGACGGCGGUGUUUGGCACCUCGAUGUCGGCUCAUCACAUCCUGGGGCUGUAGUCGGUCCCAAGGGUAUGGCUGUUCGCCAUUUAAAGUGGUACGCGAGCUGGGUUCAGAACGUCGUGAGACAGUUCGGUCCCUAUCUGUCGUGGGCGUUGGAGAUUUGAGAGGGGCUGCUCCUAGUACGAGAGGACCGGAGUGGACGAAUCUCUGGUGUUCCGGUUGUCACGCCAGUGGCACUGCCGGGUAGCUAUAUUCGGAAGCGAUAACCGCUGAAAGCAUCUAAGCGGGAAGCGCGCCUCAAGAUGAGAUCUCCCGGGACUUUAAGUCCCCUAAAGGAACCAUCAAGACUAGGUGGUUGAUAGGCAGGGUGUGUAAGUGCGGCAACGCAUUGAGCUAACCUGUACUAAUGAUCCGUGUGGCUUGACC